UUGGAGGGCAAGUCUGGUGCCAGCAGCCGCGGUAAUUCCAGCUCCAAUAGCGUAUAUUAAAGUUGUUGCAGUUAAAAAGCUCGUAGUUGAAUUUCGGGAUCAAUUUGUCGGUCGUGCCUCGGUACGUACUGGCAUUAUUGGUUUCUACCUUCUGAAGAACCUUGAUGUCAUUAAUUUGGUGUCGUUGGGGAAUCAGGACUGUUACUUUAGAAAAAAUUAGAGUGUUUAAAGCAGGCAUACGCUUGAAUACAUUAGCAUGGAAUAAUAGAAAUAGGGUACGUUUGAUUUCUUA
rnacentral:rRNA from 1 species